rnacentral:rRNA from 1 species
CCUACGGGGUGCUGCAGUGGGGAAUAUUGGACAAUGGGCGAAAGCCUGAUCCAGCCAUGCCGCGUGUGUGAAGAAGGCCUUCGGGUUGUAAAGCACUUUCAGUGGGGAAGAAAGCCUUGGGGCUAAUACCCUCGAGGAAGGACAUCACCCACAGAAGAAGCACCGGCUAACUCCGUGCCAGCAGCCGCGGUAAUACGGAGGGUGCGAGCGUUAAUCGGAAUUACUGGGCGUAAAGCGCGCGUAGGCGGUCUGAUAAGCCGGUUGUGAAAGCCCCGGGCUCAACCUGGGAACGGCAUCCGGAACUGUCAGGAUAGAGUGCAGGAGAGGAAGGUAGAAUUCCCGGUGUAGCGGUGAAAUGCGUAGAGAUCGGGAGGAAUACCAGUGGCGAAGGCGGUCUUCUGGACUGACACUGACGCUGAGGUGCGAAAGCGUGGGUAGCAAACAGGAUUAGAUACCCCAGUAGUC